UUCCAUCCUAUAGCUUUCCACUUCCAAUUUUGCUUGUGUUUACUUUUUUCAGAGUAUGUCAGAGGUUGGAGGUGAGCAGAUUAAAAAAAAGAAAAAAGAAAACUCAUUUCUCAAAUAUUAAUCUCUUCUCAUCUCCAGCUGCAUGUAAGCUUUUGGAGGAUUGUGUUCAGAUAUGUGCAAGAGAAAUGUGUACAGAAGAUGUACAGGAAAGAGGUUGCCAAGAAGUAAGUUAUAAGACAAACAGAAGAGUGAACAUAAUCUAAACAUCUUAUGAAAGAAGAUAAGAUUUCAGUCAAAUAGGAAGAAUUUAUCACACAAGACAUCAAAACAAGGACAGGGUACUUUACAGGUCUAGAUUCCUCUGAAGAUAAGAAUUUGCAAACUAGCUUGAGGUUACUUAAGCCAGUUAGCCACAGCAAACCAGCAAACAUGUGCACAGAACUGCUGAAGUGCUCCAGAUGUUUUUUGUAUUUUUUUACAGGCUAAACCAAUUGUGUAGGACUGCUGAUGACCUCCAGCUUGUAAGAGAAGAGGUAUCCUUUGAAGUAAAGCUUCAGCAAACAUCUGACCAACUUGUCUUCAUUUCAGCAACUUCUGUGAAUUAAGUAGGUUGUAAACUAU